rnacentral:rRNA from 1 species
UACGGAGGAUCCGAGCGUUAUCCGGAUUUAUUGGGUUUAAAGGGUGCGCAGGCGGGAAAUUAAGUCGGCGGUGAAAUUUUGCGGCUCAACCGUAAAAGUGCCUUCGAUACUGGUUUUCUUGAGUGUAGCUGAAGUAGGCGGAAUUUGUGGUGUAGCGGUGAAAUGCAUAGAUAUUACUCAGAACACCGAUUGCGAAGGCAGCUUACUAAUCCACAACUGACACUGAGGCACGAAAGCGUGGGGAUCAAACAGGAUUAGAUACCCUGGUAGUCCCU